rnacentral:rRNA from 1 species
AUACGUAGGGGGCGAGCGUUGUCCGGAAUGAUUGGGCGUAAAGGGCGCGUAGGCGGCCCGGUAAGUCUGGAGUGAAAGUCCUGCUUUUAAGGUGGGAAUUGCUUUGGAUACUGUCGGGCUUGAGUGCAGGAGAGGUAAGUGGAAUUCCCAGUGUAGCGGUGAAAUGCGUAGAGAUUGGGAGGAACACCAGUGGCGAAGGCGACUUACUGGACUGUAACUGACGCUGAGGCGCGAAAGUGUGGGGAGCAAACAGGAUAGAUACCCUGGUAGUCCACACUGUAAACGAUGAAUGCUAGGUGUAGGGGGUAUCGACCCCUUCUGUGCCGCAGUUAACACAAUAAGCAUUCCGCCUGGGGAGUACGGCCGCAAGGUUGAAACUCAAAGGAAUUGACGGGG